GACUAUUUCCUGUGAUGAUGCGGAAUCGGUGUCGACCUCUGCACCAAAGGUCUGAUAACUAGCUGAAGUUUCCUGGCUGCAGAUAAAUCUUUUUGCUGAAAAUCAUCAACCUCCUGUGUGUUAUUCUUCUUAAUUUUUCCGCCCAUGAUGCCCCUGGCUGUUUGCGAGCCGCUUCGCCGCAUCGUGAUCAAAGUGUAUACCUACCUACCUACAGCUGGAAGGGUCCAUUGUGUUACUCACCUCUCUAACUGAGCUUGAGCAUCGAGCAGCGUUUGUAUUGUGAUGACAGGAAGCCAUUUCAUUUCCCCCCUGUAUUCAUAAUUUUUUCCCCGUUCGCACAUUUCGCCUAAUUUUUCAUUUUGAUGAUUAUUUGUUGUAGAGAUGGACAAUGUAGUUGUAUGGUUAUGGUUCCCUUAGGUGUUGUGAACCCGUAUUGAUUUUCCGUAUAGAAUACUUGUAGCAUGUUGAGCACUGUCUGUGUGGUGUUGGCUGUGGUAUGAAUGUUUGUAUGGUUAGUGGAUAUUUUUUGUUUAUGAAUGAUGCAAAGAUGUGGGUGUUAUCCACAAAGAAGAACAGACAUUAUUAUGCUUACAAAUGAUUUUCACUCCCGACCAGUAUUUUCUUCGAAUGAGCAUAUUUUCCAUACUACGGCAUUGAUCAAUAUAGG
rnacentral:lncRNA from 1 species